CACGGGGGGAGCAAGCGUUGUUCGGAAUCACUGGGCGUAAAGGGCGUGUAGGCGGUCAGGUAAGUGAGAUGUGAAAUGCCCCGGCUCACCCGGGGACCGGCAUCUCAUACUGCUUGGCUUGAGUACGGGAGAGGAUGUGGGAAUUCCUGGUGUAGCGGUGAAAUGCGUAGAUAUCGGGAGGAACACCAGUGGCGAAGGCGACUACCUGGCCUGUUCUUGACGCUGAGGCGCGAAAGCUAGGGGAGCAAACGGG
rnacentral:rRNA from 1 species